CACGCCGUAAACGAUGAGUACUAGGUGUGGGUGGAGUCAAAUCCAUCUGUGCCGUAGCAAACGCGUUAAGUACUCCGCCUGGGAAGUACGGCCGCAAGGCUAAAACUCAAAGGAAUUGAC
rnacentral:rRNA from 1 species